rnacentral:rRNA from 1 species
UACGUAGGUGACCAGCGUUGUCCGGAAUUACUGGGCGUAAAGAGCUCGUAGGCGGUCUGUCGCGUCUGCUGUGAAAACUCAGGGCUUAACCCUGAGCUUGCAGUGGGUACGGGCAGACUAGAGUGCGAUAGGGGAGACUGGAAUUCCUGGUGUAGCGGUGAAAUGCGCAGAUAUCAGGAGGAACACCGGUGGCGAAGGCGGGUCUCUGGGCCGUAACUGACGCUGAGGAGCGAAAGCAUGGGGGAGCGAACAGG